GACGAACGCUGUGGCGUGCUUAACACAUGCAAGUCGAACGGUAAGGCCCUUCGGGGUACACGAGUGGCGAACGGGUGAGUAACACGUGGGUGAUCUGCCCUGCACUUCGGGAUAAGCCUGGGAAACUGGGUCUAAUACCGGAUAGGACUCCGGACUGCAUGGUCUGGGGUGGAAAGCUUUUGCGGUGUGGGAUGGGCCCGCGGCCUAUCAGCUUGUUGGUGGGGUGAUGGCCUACCAAGGCGACGACGGGUAGCCGGCCUGAGAGGGUGACCGGCCACACUGGGACUGAGAUACGGCCCAGACUCCUACGGGAGGCAGCAGUGGGGAAUAUUGCACAAUGGGCGCAAGCCUGAUGCAGCGACGCCGCGUGAGGGAUGACGGCCUUCGGGUUGUAAACCUCUUUCAGCAUCGACGAAGCGAAAGUGACGGUAGGUGCAGAAGAAGGACCGGCCAACUACGUGCCAGCCGCCGCAGUAA
rnacentral:rRNA from 1 species